UUGGCUGCAUCCUGCAUUUCUUCUCCCCAUGCCUGAAAAUCUGAAAUCAGUAAAAAUAAGCAAUGUCCUCAGUUUCAACACAAUCCUCAUGUGUUUCGUAAUUUUGUUGCUCCAGUUAAGAAUACAGUAUUAGAAUUCUGAGUAAAAACACAAGUAUAAAAUAAUAGGAAUCAUUAAGCACAACGAAAGAUUACUGAUAAUUGUCGAAACCACGAUAUUUCUUACUCAUAUACCGACUUCGGUGUUAAGAUAGAACAGGUAGUAAUUCCGAACAGGUAGACAGUCCGAUUGCACAGACUGUACGAACACGCGACCCGAAUUAGUCCAACUCGACACUAUGGGCUUACAUUACGCACCAGCCUGCCGGUUUAUGCCACUGAAUCAUUUGCUACAACACAUGCAAAAUAAGGGCGUUGAAUGCGAAUGGUAUGUGUGUACUGGUGAGCAUGAGACGUACUUACCAGAAUUGCACUCGUGCGUCUUAAUCUACUGGGAAGUUGUGUGCCUACUGCCUACAUUCACCUGGUGCUGCUGCUGGACUGAGAAGGUGCAGCUGAGAAAAAGUGGACUGGCACUUGUUGCAUCUGUAGUAACAGAGUGGCCCAUUUUACAUUUUUUUACAGACGCCUUCACCUUUUGAACCGCGAUCACGAAACUCGCAGGCGUUGUUGAAACGUUCACUCACCUGUUGAACAUCGACGGACGAGCCGGACAUCCAGCGAGGAACUUGAACGGAAUAUUUGGCAAAGCUGCUUCAGCACUACCACAAAUCUCAUCCGCAAGCCAUGCGCCAUGCUCACAAACUCAAGCAAACAAACCGCUGUCUGCUAGCGCACGCGAAGCGAGCAGACGGCACGGCGGCGGCAAAGAGAGACACGUGACAUCACUUCUAGCGCAUGCGCAGCGCAACUGAUUUUCCUCUCCCGAAGGCCAAGUCAGAGACAGAGAACCAUGCAGAAAACCAACCAUGCUAUUAUCCAUCCCGAUAUCCCAAUCCAUCCGUGCCCCUCAGGUCUCAGGAUCUAGCGUCUAGCACGGGUUGACACUUGACAAACUGGACUCUCCUUCGGCUAGCACGAGACAAAACAUUUGAACGCCAAUGAAAAAGCUGAGAGCCAUCAACAUUAGACACGAGAGAGGAGUGCAGAUUCAGCCUGAUGAUGUUCACCAAGCAGAUAUUGGUCAAUGGAAGGUGAAAUCUCAGUCUUUUCCUGACACAGAAUAUGUGGUGACGAAAAUGACGGCUGACAUCUGUAGCAUAAGGUGCAGAAUUAUCUGUCGACAUGCUUGUACACAUGCCUACAGAUGUUCAUGCCCUGACAACCACGAGAACAUGUACAUGUGCAAGCACAUUCAUUCAGUUCAUAGCCUCCUACAUAGGAGGAUACGUUCAGUUCCACUAUGGCACACUGGCACAACACCAUCAAGUGCAAGUCCUGAUGCUGAUGAUGAUACCUAUGAUACUGAUAAUGAUACCUAUGAUGACAGCUACGAUGACAGCUACGAUGACACCUAUGAUACAGAGGCUGAUGAUGAUGAUACUCAGUGGGAGGACACUGAGGUUUGCAGCCCAUCAGCACUGAUGAGACUUCAAGGACAAGCAGGAGGAUCUGCCACAUUAGAUGAGUGCAAGGCCCUCGCUGAAGCUUUAUUAGGCCGCCUAAGCAGCACAUUAUCUGCGAAGACAAGGCGGAAAGUUGCAAGAAUGCUGAGGAAGGCUCUCUCUGUGAUAGCUGGAGAUGAAAAUGAUGCUAAACCUGCUGCGGCAUCUCCGAACAAUGAAGUGUCACAACAUGUGCAAACAGUGCCAACGGUAAUGGGACAAGCCACAUCAAAGCCAAUCACUGCAGAAAUGCAAAUGAUUACAGGAAUAUUUCUAGAACCUGACGUUCCAACUACUUCCGAGAUUUCAGAAGAUCACACAUAUGCGCAAAAAUAAACAAACCAUAGAGGACGGUCACAAAGGUUUAGAUGUUCAUGUGCUUCGCCUCGGCAACUGUGUUCUAACGUACGCUUGGUUGCAUUGCUUUUAAUAGUAUAGCAUUUGUGACAAGAGAGGCAAGAGUCUUCAAGAAAGUUGGAAUUAGAAAUCAUGCACACUGAGUUCCACAAUUUAUUUUUAUCAAGGACGUUUUUCACAGUUUUUUUUUUUAAACUAGCUUUUUACAGCGCCUGUUUGUUUUGUUCCAUAGAGGACGGUCAGUACACUUGCUAUUAUUGUAGACCUCUACCCAAUAUAGGCCAGUUAGAUCACACAGCUCGGUUGAUUCAUUGUAUGAUGCACGGAAAUUCAUCUCUUCAGUGACCUCAGUGAGCAAAUUACACGGUUGGUAAAGUUUUGAGAAUUUUU